UAGCUCAGUUGGUAAAGAAUCUGUCUGCAAUGCAGGAGACCCAGGUUAGAUUCCUGG
rnacentral:tRNA from 1 species